rnacentral:lncRNA from 1 species
UGGAUCGACAAGAUAGAGAGCCAUUUCACUCCAUCAGACAUCCCAGCCGAGCUUCAGCCGAUAGAUCUAAACUCUCUGGCAAGUCACGACAAUGAACACCACUCCACUCUUCGUAACGAACUCCACGUGGCCCGGAACGGCCCCCUGACGUCACUACUCUCCAUAACAAACUUCACAUGGCCCUGAACGGCCCACUACCAG